ensembl:lncRNA zinc finger protein 541-like
CCUGGUUGUACCCUCCCCGGAGGAUUGGUGUGCACAGGUGUUUUGGGGGGCUCUCCUUGUUGGGUUAUCAAUGAAGGAAUUCAGGCUAGCCUGGGUUCCAAUCCUGUUGGUAUUUUUUGGAGUUAUCAAAUAAAGGGUUUGGCUGCUUGCCUUUUUAACAUCCACCAGGAGUCCAGACCCUGUGUUUGACAGUUAUUUUUGGGGGCUUGCCUGGGAUAUUCACGCCCAGAGGUGGUCUGGAGCAGCACAGAUUUGGGUGGCAUGCAUUUUCUUUUUUUUAUACCCCUGGACUACGUCGGGAUCACGGAAGGGUUGCUGAAUAGAACCUGAAGGCCAGCAGGAGUGACAACCCGGCAAGAAGGAACCCCCUCUCCAGGGAUCAACUCUGACCGAUCAACAGAUCCUAAGAAACAAAUAGAACAUUCCCUCACAUCUCUAGAGAUUGGGCCCUAAAAAGAGAAUUAACAAGUUGAUACAAAAAGGGAAUUUAAACUCCUGCAGCAAAGAAGCAAGGAAGUGACCGGAAAGGAGAAUAGAAAAGGGGAGGCAAGACCGAGCAAAGACAGUUUUGCCAUGAAUAUGGGUGGGAGAGUUAUCUGCAUCGGACUCCUAUGGAUAUUCCUCCUGUUGAUUCUCCAAGAAGGAGAAGGAAUUCUUUGCGACAAAUGCUAUUACCCCAUACACGCGGGAGAAUCUCAGACAGCCAUCCUCGGGAUCCAUACAAACCCGAGUCCCCGAUGUAUCAACUUUUGAAAAUUAACCACUUGUGAUGAGGAUGGUUCAGAGCAAGACUGUGGCACAGUGUGUAGAGUACUACUACACCUGGAAAAAAGAACAUAAACUUGCCAAAAGUCUUGCUCAGACUGUGAGCGAACCAAAGAGGAGCCAAAGCCCUCCCAGAAAGGAGGACGGGAAGACAGGGAAGAGAAGCCGCAAGAGGGCCCGCAACGCGGAGUGUCCCUGCUGCCAAGCGCCCCAGACACCCCAUUCGGCGGGAGGUCCCUUUCCCUGCGGCCAGUGCAAACGAGUGUUUGAAACCGUGCAGGAAAGGAACACACAUAGGAGAGGACUUCACCCACGGAAGGAAGAAGGGCCUCUCCCCAAGAAGAAAAGACCAAAUUAACCCUGCCGCUUGUCCGGGCCUAACAAGAAUUAUCUGUCACAUGGAUCUAGAUAGAAAUAAGACUGGUUUUUAAGUUCUUUAUUAGGAUGGUUUAUUCUUCUAUUUAGUCGACUAGGUAGACAUUUCUCAAUUUGUUACUUCAGAUUCAUUAACUUUCUUAAAGGUUUAUUAGGAUUAUUAGAUUAUUAUUAUGAUUAGAUUAUUUGACUAUUAGAUUAGUAGGUUAUUAGAUUAUUAUAGUUAGAUUAUUAGAUUCGAUUUUUAGCAACAUUUCUCAAUUUGUUAGUUGAGAUUCAUUCGCAUUCUUAAAGAUUUAUUAGGAUUAUUAGAUUAUUACGAUGAUUAGAUUAUUUGAUUAUUAGAUUAUUAGGUUAUUAGGUUAUUAUGUUGUUAUUCUUAGAUUAUUAGAUUCGAUUAUUAGCUUAUUAGAUGAUUAUUAUAGUUCGAUUCUUAUCAGUCAAUGGAAGAGGUUUGGUGGUGUUUGUUAAGCUCCAUCUUUUGUUAUCUUGUUUUCAUUAAGACAAAAGCUGUCUUUCUCAUGAAAGCAAAGUUGGUUCCAUUUUGUCUUUUUGUCUGUCUGAAGUCAUUCAAGCAAUGUCUGUUACAUUUGUCUGGUGUUGCAAACACGGUAUUGGCCCUGAGAAGGAUCUGGGCACCUGCAUCCUCCCACAGGCCCAGCCCCUUCCACAGCUGGCAGGACUUCCAAAGGUGUGUCCCCAUUGUGCCAGUGAAAUCAUGGUGGGCUUUCAUCCUUGCAUUCCUAAAAACCUCAGCUUGGAGUGAAAAGGGAGGCUUGGUUUAAUUCAAUGAAUUGGAUCUAUGUGAGUGGGCUUGUCUCAUUAUACUUGGAGGGAUAAAAGCCGGGGGUUUUAGUACUUCUGGUCGCCAAGCAACA